UACGUAGGGCGCAAGCGUUGUCCGGAAUUAUUGGGCGUAAAGAGCUCGUAGGCGGCCUGUUGCGUCCGCUGUGAAAUCCCGGGGCUCAACCCCGGGCGUGCAGUGGAUACGGGCUGGCUGGAGGCAGGCAGGGGAGAACGGAAUUCCUGGUGUAGCGGUGAAAUGCGCAGAUAUCGGAAAGAACACCCGUGGCGAAGGCGGCACUCUGGGACGGUACUGACGCUGAGACGCGAAAGCGUGGGGAGCGAACAGG
rnacentral:rRNA from 1 species